rnacentral:rRNA from 1 species
CCUACGGGAGGCAGCAGUGGGGAAUAUUGCGCAAUGGGCGAAAGCCUGACGCAGCGACGCCGCGUGAGGGAUGAAGGUCUUCGGAUCGUAAACCGCUGUCAGCAGGGAAGAACGGUCACUGUGCUAAUCAGCAGUGAAUUGACGGGACCUGCAAAGGAAGCACCGGCUAAAUCCGGGCCAGCAGCCGCGGUAAUACGGAGGGUGCGAGCGUUAAUCGGAAUUACUGGGCGUAAAGCGCUCGUAGGGGGUAUGUCCAGUCAAGGGGGAAAUACCCGCGGUCAACCUGGGAACUGCCUUUGAAACUGGCAAACUGGAGUGUGUGAGAGGAUAGUGGAAUUCCAGGUGUAGGAGUGAAAUCCGUAGAUAUCUGGAGGAACAUCAGUGGCGAAGGCGACUAUCUGGCACAUAACUGACGCUGAGGAGCGAAAGCGUGGGUAGCAAACAGGAUUAGAUACCCGGGUAGUC